AUACGUAGGGGGCAAGCGUUAUCCGGAUUUACUGGGUGUAAAGGGAGCGUAGACGGAAGGCCAAGUCUGAUGUGAAAGCCCGCGGCUCAACUGCGGGACUGCAUUGGAAACUGGUCAUCUGGAGUGCAGGAGGGGUAAGCGGAAUUCCUAGUGUAGCGGUGAAAUGCGUAGAUAUUAGGAGGAACACCGGUGGCGAAGGCGGCUUACGGGACUGUAACUGACGUUGAGGCUCGAAAGCGUGGGGAGCAAACAGGAUUAGAUCCCCUGGUAGUCCACGCCGUAAACGAUGAAUACUAGGUGUGGGGGGUCUGACCCCCUCCGUGCCGCAGCUAACGCAAUAAGUAUCCCACCUGGGGAGUACGAUCGCAAGGUUGAAACUCAAAGGAAUUGACGGGG
rnacentral:rRNA from 1 species